AGAAAAAACAAAAUUUUCAGAAAUUUAGUUUUGGAACACACAUACUUUCACCUAGACUUUUAAUAUCUCUGUCCUGAUUUUUGCUUCAUCAGGAUGGUGUCACAAAACUCUUAUGUGCUCCAGAAAGAGGAGUGGCAAGGAAAUGUUAUUGCUUCCCAAACCAGGGAGUGUAUAUGUGCUAUGAGACAGUGAGAGUAUGGUUGUGGCUGGCCUUAAUCAGGUGCCCUUGCUUCCUCUUCUGCAGGGACCUUCAGGUUCUCAGCAGAGCUGGGCAUGAGGGCACCAAGUCUUGGUGUCCUGUGCUGCUCUCCUCUUCCCAGACCUGUCCUGUGCCAGGGUGCUAGUGGAGGACCCACCUGUCCUAUACCCCGCUGCAGCAUCAGGGAGGGAGGUACAGGCAUAGAUGACUUAGGCUGCUCUGGCUCCUGAGUGUCUACAGCCCCUCCUCAGAGACAAUUUGGGUCUUUGUUGGAUAAAUACUAGAGGCUGUGUGGAUUGUCCAGGAGAGAAGUGGGAGCUCAGAUCCAGUUGAAUUAGAAUUCAGGACUCCAGAAGGGUGACUGUGUUAAUCCUUCCCAUUUUCAAGUACUUCCAUUUCUCUUCCUUUGCAUAUUUUUGUUUAUUUCAAUACUGUCAUCAUCUGUCCCUGCCUUUUGUCAGCUUUUUAUUCCCCCAGUUCAAGACCACUAAGUAUUCUCCAAAUCUUUCUGCCUCAGCUUUACAUUGUCCUAUGAGUGCCACAAUUUGUGUUAAGUCAGGUCCUCAGUCUCAUCCACUUUAUGACAAGCCUGGAUGCCAUUGUCUUCUUUCUGAAAUCACAUGGAGAUUUGCUGGUGACAGAUAUAGCCUCUACCUCAUUUUCUUUAUUGAUUGAUUUUUUAGAGUCUUAGGGGUGAGCCCAGAGCCUCAUGCAUUGUAGGAGAGCACUGUACCCCUGAGCUGCAGCCCCAGCCCCUUCCUUCAUUUUAGUACAGACUCCAGUGGCAGUUACUAGAAGAUGAGACAGAUUUUAGAUGAAGAAAAGUCCAUUUACUGAAUUUUUCCUGUGAUUCAAGCAAGUUUCAUCACUUGAGUUGAGUGAUGGAAGCCCAGUUCCUUGUUGCUCAUGGUACUUAAAGUGACUUUGUACUCAUUGUCAGUUCCUCUACUCAUCCUUCUGCACAGAAUGCUUUUGUGAAAGUAUGUUUUUUUUAAUGC
rnacentral:lncRNA from 1 species